AGAUGCAUACUAGGCCACAGCAGAAGCACUCAUGACAUGGCCCUGUCAGAUUCCAAUGAAUCUGCAAAUUAUUCU
rnacentral:ribozyme from 1 species